AUGCAAGUCGAACGAUUUGUACACUUUCAACCAAGGGCGGGCUUGCUCGCUUCUUGAUUGAUGCAGUACGGAUAGUGGCGAACGGCUGAGUAACACGUCGGAAUCUCCCCCAAACUCGGGUAUAGCUUCGUGAAAACGGAGGUAAUCCCCGAUGUAGAGGCAACUCUAAAGAUUUAUCGGCUUGGGAUGAGCCGGCGGCUUAUCAGGUAGUUGGUAAGGUAAAUGCCUACCAAGCCUAUGACGAGUAGCUGGUGUGAGAGCACGACCAGCCAGAGGGGCACUGAGACACGGGCCUCACUCCUACGGGAGGCAGCAAUCGGGAAUAUUGCACAAUGGACGAGAGUCUGAUGCAGCGACGCCGCGUGAAGGAUGAAUGCCCUCGGGUUGUAAACUUCGUUAUAAGGACCGGCUAACUACGUGCCAGCAGCAGCGGUCAAACGUAGAGUCCAAGCAUUACCCGGAGUUACUGGGCGUAAAGAGUUCUGUAGGCUGUUAGAUAAGUCAGGGGUAAAAUCCUUCGGCCUAACCGAAGACCUGCUUCUGAUACUAUUUAACUAGAGGCAACUAGGGAAUAGCGGAACGUAUGGUGUAGCAGUAAAAUGCGUUGAUAUCAUACGGAACACCGAGGGGGAAGCCAGCUAUUUGGGGUUGUCCUGACGCUGAGAGACGAAAGCGUAGGUAGCGAAACGGAUUAGAUACCCGUGUAGUCUACGCUGUAAACUAUGCCUGCUAGAUGCCUGUACUUUUGUUUGGGUGUCGAAGCUAACGCGUUAAGCAGGCCGCCUGGGGAGUACGAUCGCAAGAUUAGAACUCAAAGGAAUUGGCGGGAUCCCGCACAAGCGGUGGAGCAUGCUCUUUAAUUGGCUGAUAACCCAAGAACCUUACCAGGACUUGACAUGUUUGGAGUAGAAAACCGAAAGGGGAUCGACCGGUAUCCAGUCCGGAACAUACACAGGUGUUGCAUGGCUGUCGUCAGCUCGUACCGUGAGGCGUGCCCUUAAGUGGGUUAACGAGCGCAACCCCUACUACUAGUUGUAUCACUCUAGUGGAACUGCCCCGGCAACGGGGAGGAAGGUGGGGACGACGUCAAGUCGGUAUUGCCCUUAUGUCCUGGGCAAGAAGCAUGCUACAAUGGCCGGCACAACGAGUCGCAAAACCGCGAGGUGGAGCUAAUCUCUAAAAUCCGGUCUCAGUUCAGAUUGAAGUCUGCAAUUCGACUUCAUGAAGUUGGAAUCGCUAGUAAUCGCUGGUCAGCUAUACAGCGGUGAAUACGUUCUCGGGAUUUGCACACACUGCCCGUCACGUCAGCAAAGCUGAGGUUACCCUAAGUCUUAUAUUCGUAUGGGCCCACGGUAAAAUCAGUGAUGAGGACGAAGUCGUAACAAGGUA
rnacentral:rRNA from 1 species